ensembl:snoRNA SNORD79 Small nucleolar RNA SNORD79
UACUGUUGAUGAUGAAAUUGUAUAAAACAAUGGGAAUCUCUCUGAAAAGAAGUGAAGAGAAUUUGCACUGAAACAGUA